GUGCUUCAUCAAAGCCGCCUUGUAUAGCAUCGAAAUCAGGCUUCUGCCGCAGCGUUGGACAAACGUGACAUCGCCUCGGGUGCAUUUUUCCACGUUGAACUGGGCCUUUUUCAACGCAGCCAACGGGACCACUCCGGCGAACUGGUGCAACGUUUCCAAAUUGCCGUGACGGUCGAGCAGCGUGUGCAGAAUCCGCUGCACCAGCAAACGCACGCCGCUGUCGUCGACCAGGGCCAAUUUGAGCAACGGUUCCAAGAACGUGCUGGUCAGCACGGUCGCCGCCACUUGCAACAAGGUCCGCGUGAGCACGUGCUGCAGAAAGGUGUCGGCCAGGCGGUCACUUGUCUCCAGCGGAACUUUGCUGAUGAUGAAUACCAUAAUUUCCACUUUCUGGUAGUCGGGCAGAUUGUUGGCAAAAUUGCCCAUCGUGUUGAUCAGCAAAUCUUGGUAGGCGCGUUCUUUGUCACCGGGCGUAACGGUAUUCAAAUGUGUGUUUGAUGGACUUUAUUUGCAAUGGGCGCUCAAUGUGUUUUCUUAUAUCGGUGGCGUCAAUGUUAGCCUCCCAUCCGACCCGUCUUGUAACACGGACCAAGGAGUUCAGUAGGCACGCGAGUCGUUGACGUUUUUCAUUGAACAGUCGAAGGCGAAAUGAAAGUGUUCAUGAAAAUGAACUGUACUCUUUUUUAUGGAGUGCUGUUCAAUUUCAACAUGAUCGUCCUUUUUUUGCGCUUGUGGUGCAAAAUAGUAGAUGUAUGGGGACGCGCAGUGUGGUGCCGUUGAAUAGUCGCACUGUUCUCUCUUUCUCUUCGGGGUUGGAGGAACAAUUGUCGAUCAGUCGGUUUCGGAGCGUGCACACUGGUACCCGAAAGAUGGUGAACUAUGCUUGAGCAGAAUGAAGCCAGAGGAAACUCUGGUGGAAGUUCGUAGCGGUGUUGACGUGCAAAUCACUCGUCUGACUUGAGUGUAGGGGCGAAAGACUAAUCGAACCAUCUAGUUGCUGGUUCCUUCCGAAGUUUCCCUCAGGAUAGCUGGCAUUUGUUUGUAACAAUUUUAUCCGGUAGAGCGAAUGAUUAGAGGUGUUGGGAACGCAAUGUUCUCAGCCUAUUCUCAAACUUCGAAUGGGUAAGCAAGGCGUUUUGCUUUGAUUUUACGAUGAAAUCGCCCAAUUAGAAGAAUGUAUAAAUGCCUAGUGGGCCAAUUUUGGUAAGCAGAACUGGCGAUGUGGAAUGAACCAAAAGUCAGGUUAAGGUGCCAGACAUUGGCGCUCAUGAAAUACCAGAAAAGGUGUUGGUCGAUAUAGACAGCAGGACGGUGGCCAUGGAAGUUGGAAUCCGCCAAGGAGUGUGUAACAACUCACCUGCCGAAUCGACUAGCCCUGAAAAUGGAUAGCGUUUGAGCUCCAGGCCCAUACCUGACCGUCUCAAUUACGCACCCUUUUUUCGGAAAAGGUGUAAUGCACGUUGAGACGGGUAGGAAGGUCGCGACAGUGUUGCUUUGAAGAGUUUUGAGCGUGAGCUCGCUCGGAGCCGCUGUCGGUGCAGAUCUUGGUGGUAGUAGCAAAUAUUCAAGUGAGAACCUUGAAGGCUGAAGUGGAGCAAGGUUCCAUGUGAACAGCAGUUGGACAUGGGUCAGUCGAUCCUAAGAAAACGGCGAAAGCUUUUUCGAAUUUGCGACAUGAAUUGUAAGACUGUGAAUAAUUGUGUGCGUGUGUUUGCCAAUUAUUAAUUGUUGUGCGCAGUUGUCGUAUGUUUUCGAAAGGGAAUCCGGUUGAUAUUCCGGAACCGAGUAACGGAGACAAAGAGUAGCGCUUUAAUCUCUCUCUCUCUGUGGGGUUGGCGUUCAACUCAAUCGCGCGGUAACGCAAGCGAACUCGGAAAAUGACCGUCGUGAGUUUCGAAAAGAGUUUUCUUUUCUUUUUAAGGGACGCAUUCCCUGGAACCGGGUUGUCCGGAGAUAGGGAUUUUGGUAUCCAUAAAACGCCGACUUUUUCACGGUGUUCGGAGCGCUCUCGUCGGUACGUGAAAAUCCGAGCGACGCCUGGUAAAUCUCGUACUUGGUCGUACUGAUAUCCGCAGCAGGUCUCCAAGGUGAAUAGCCUCUGGCCGAUAGAAUAAUGUAGGUAAGGGAAGUCGGCAAAACGGAUCCGUAACUUCGGAACAAGGAUUGGCUCUAAGGGCUGGGCCGAUCGGGCUGAGGUUUCAAGCGUGCAGUGUAUGCUUGGCUUAGUUGUGUUGAGGACUUGUUCACUUGCCACCGUUUGUUCGGUUGGUCGAGUGUAUUCGAGUCUGAAGCAGAGCUGGCCGUCAGACCGGCACGUGUAGAACCUGAGCUGCGCGGCUGUCCGUUUUCGUGUACAGACCGUUUCGGUCGGCAUUCAACAGCCAACUUAGAACUGGCACGGACACAAGGAAUCUGACUGUAUAAUUAAAACAAAGCAUUGCGAUGGCCGAUGAUCGGUGAUGACGCAAUGUGAUUUCUGCCCAGUGCUCUGAAUGUCAAA
rnacentral:rRNA from 1 species